UUUUUUUUUUUUUUUUUCUGUAACACAAAGAAAGCCUCGGGGUAAAUGUUGGAGCCUUCGUUCUUCACUUGAGCUCAGCCGUUGUCCUCGAUCUGAUGUUGCCGCGAUGAAACAAACAAGUGCAACCGGAUUAUGAUCAUAUGCGUCGCCGAGCUCUUAUAUGCAUCAGACGCUGGGCGCAGUACGCCUCGCAUGCCGCUCGUGUAUCGUUCACCUCGUGAAAUCAGGCAUGAUCGACAACGCGGUUUAGGUGUUCGACGAAAUGCGUCAGUCAAGCUACCGCGUUUUCUCCUGCUAUUACAACCGUUUCAUCGGGGUUUUGGUCAAAGAUUCGAGAUUUGAUAUUUAUUGGAUCUGUUGUGUCGAGAGAGAAAGGUAAGGUCACUGAUGCAGUUGAGAUUUAGAAUGAGAGGGAUUCAACCGGAUACUAGAGCAUGUGCAGCACUUGUUGUUGGGUUAUCAAGGCUUUUCUUAGGGAAGCCAACUCUAGUGUUGCGAAGAAGCUCCUCGAUCAGAUGACGGAGUUAGGUCUGUCACCAGAUCGCAUAUUUUACACGACGAUUCUGGAGCAUUUUUGUAAAUUCGGAAAUCUCGACAAGGCUUAUGGUGUUUUCAACGACAUGAUUGAGCACGGAAUCACACCCGAUGUGAUUUCUUUUAACGCCCUGAUAAGUGGCCUCUGCAGGUAUUGUAGAGUGACUGAAGCAAUGAAGUUGUUCGAGGACAUGCAGAGUAAAGAGUGUUGGCCUGAUGAAUUAACUUUCGAGUUCAUUAUUGGAGGACUCAUACGGGAGAAUAAAUUAUCCGCAGCCUACAAGAUUUGGGAUCAGAUGAUGGAUAAAGGAUUCACCCUUGAUAGAGAUGUGUCUGAUACACUUAUAAAGGCUAGCUGUUCUGUGAGUGCUGAUGCUUAGGCGUAAUAAGGGUAUAAACCUUUAAAAUUGUCAAACUUGCCUUCUCCUGUGCAAAAAUGCCGUCGUGGUCAAAAGUAUGGCGGCAUGGAGAUGCUGAUAUGAUGAUACAGAGCCAUUUAAGCCUCUAUUGAUACCUGCUGCUGCUUGGAGAAAAACAAAAGACUUAUCAGCUGACUUGAGUUGACAUUAAUACUCCUGAAGGGUCAUCAUUUAUAGUCGAUGAGUCUACCUCCAGUGAUGAGAGUCCAGGGCUAGACCUGCCUGAUGGCCUGUUGCAUUUUAGAAAUAAUCUUCUUGAGCUCUUGGUAGAUAUUUGUCAGCUACUUCAUCCUACAACAUUUUUGUUUUUUGGUGGCCUGCCUUCUUCAAAUAUUUCGAUGUCCUUGAGGGAGAUUGAGGCGAAGUUGUUUGCUCUUAAUGCGGUUAGCACACAUCACCUUUCUUCUUCCAAUCAAGCUGCUUCGUUUUAUUUUCUUGUUUAAAAACACCCCCAAGAGGUGUGGGAUCACGUUGUCUGGGUUCUUUACUAUUUUUUUUUUGUCUCUAUUACUUAUCCAUCCAUCGCCACUUUCUGUUUAGAGAGCGGGGAUGAUAUCUUGUUUUUCCUUGUCUUUACUAAGGAUUCUACGGUGUCAGGUUUCUGAAAUUAUCUUGCAAGAGGGAGAGGCUUUUGAUUUUUCAUUGAUCAUGCAAUUGGUUUCUGCAUUCUCUGACAGGCCAUCCAGUGAGCUCAAGGGGUUUAUGUGUUGUAUGUCAGUUCAUACGCUUGCUUUGUCUUCUGGCUUACCUACAUUUUUCUUGUACUAUUGAUGCAAUCAACAUUUAACUAUAAUCAACUUUUAGGUAUAUAGAUCGCUGGCAGAUGUUAUUGGCUCCUUUUCAAGAUGGAUCUCUGUUUUUCCAAGUAAUGGUAGACCCUUGCUAUUAUUUCUUGCAGGAGGGAUUUCUGAACCCAUUUGUUCACAUGCUUGUGCCUCUGCUCUUCGUAAAAUUUGUGAAGAUGCUCCAGCUGUAGUACAUGAAACAUGUAAUUUAGACAUCUUGAUGCGGAUAGGAGAGGUUUCAGCUUCAGGCACCCCUUUCGAUAACUGUUAAGACAGGCUUCAAGUUACACUGACGUAUAUAUAUAUAUAUAUAUAUAUCCUGAAUCAUUAUACUUUUACUUUCCUUAGUGUUUGGAUCAGUGGAAUUUGGCUUUGGAAGAUGAAGCAAAGUCAUUAGCGCUAUCACUGUGAUUCUCGGCUCUGUUGCUAACAAAGAGCUGCAAAAUAAAUUAUUAACUCAAUUGCUUUCGUCCAGUUAUGGAGUUCUCUCAAAACUUGUAGAUGAUGACGUGGAGUAUUCAAGUAAACAGAGUCCAGCCGCUUACACACGAAUGUUGAGCUCUGUUACAAGAGGUCUUUACAGGAUUGGAACUGUAUUCAGCCACCUUGCCACGUCUCUAUCAUCUGUCCCUGUGGCGGAUGGUCCAAUCCUUUCUUUGUUGACUGCGUUCUGGCCCAUUUUGGAGAAGUUAUUCAGGUCUGAACACAUGGAGAGUGGAAGUUUAGCUGCUGCUGCAUGCCGUGCUCUUUCAGUGGCAGUUCAGUCGUCAGGUUUCAGACUCUCUUAUCUCGUUAUUCUACUACGCGACAUUUAUCCUCUUAUGCCUUAAGAUCAUGUAACACUUGUCUAUUCCAAAGAAUCCUGUACACUAGAGAGUAACCAAUUAUAUAUGUUUCCUACUGUAAGAGUAUAUGUUUCCUACUGUAAGAGUCUGAGUAUGCCAAUGAUUUAGGAUUA